rnacentral:rRNA from 1 species
GUAAGCGUAUCGCUUUGCGAUGGGUCUGCGUCUGAUUAGCUAGUUGGUGGGGCAACGGCCUACCAAGGCGACGAGUCAGUAGCCGGUCUGAGAGGAAUGAACGGCCACAUUGGAACUGAGACACGGUCCAGACUCCUACGGGAGGCAGCAGUGGGAAUCUUCCGCAAUGGGCGAAAGCCUGACGGAGCAACGCCGCGUGAGUGAAGAAGGUCUUCGGAUCGUAAAGCUCUGUUGUCGGGGACGAAUGUUGAGACCUAGAACAUAGGUUUCAAAUGACGGUACCUGACGAGGAAGCCACGGCUAACUACGUG